CUCGACAAUACAAACUAGAAAAUGGAUGCAUGAUUAAAUAUUUAUAAGGCAAAGCUUGCUUAAUUAUGAUUUAGAAAUGCCAUGCUGCCAUGCAGCGAAAGUAAUUACCUUGUCAAUUUAUCCUUGUUUAUCUGAACUUAGUCCAUAGGGAAUAAAAUUAGUUCCGACGAUGCUGAUCCUCAAACGUCUAUUUUGGUAGUAAUACAUUGCUAUACUUCUGCAUGACCUUUUUUAAACUAAUGGUUAUUGAAAAUUAAAUCACGAGAUUUGUUCCCACAUUCUUGUUCACAAUACUCAUGUGUUGCAGUUAUCUCGGAGUUGUUGGGCUCCCCAAUUCCAAAAAUCCAGGAAAUUAUUCAAGAAAUGUCCCCACUACACUUUACAAUGCCAUUGUUGCCAUUUCAACGGUUUUCUUAGCAACUUAAUUGUUUUCCGCUUUAUGUGAAGUGUGAUUGUAUGAUAGUCAACUGCGCGAGAUCAGUUUUGUUCUCUGAUUUUUAUUUUCUUUUUCGUAGAAAUGUCAAAUUAAAUAUUUAUAGACAGAACACUGAAGCGCAAAGAUGCGUCUAACGCUUGC